UUGCCUACGGGGCGCAGCAGUAGGGAAUCUUUCACAAUGGGCGAAAGCCUGAUGGAGCAACGCCGCGUGCAGGAUGAAGGCCUUCGGGUUGUAAACUGCUUUUAUAAGCGAGAAAUAUGAUGGUAACUUAUGAAUAAGGAUCGGCUAACUACGUGCCAGCAGCCGCGGUAAUACGUAGGUGGCAAGCGUUGUCCGGAAUUACUGGGUGUAAAGGGAGCGCAGGCGGGAAGCCAAGUCAGCUGUGAAAACUACGGGCUUAACUUGUAGACUGCAGUUGAAACUGGUUUUCUUGAGUGAAGUAGAGG
rnacentral:rRNA from 1 species